UACGAAGGGGGCUAGCGUUGUUCGGAAUCACUGGGCGUAAAGCGCACGUAGGCGGGUCGUUAAGUCGGGGGUGAAAUGCCAAGGCUCAACCUUGGAACUGCCUUCGAUACUGAGAGUCUUGAGUCCGGGAGAGGUGAGUGGAACUGCGAGUGUAGAGGUGAAAUUCGUAGAUAUUCGCAAGAACACCCGUGGCUAAGGCGGCUCUCUAGUACGGUACUGACGCUGAGACGCGAAAGCGUGGGGAGCGAACAGG
rnacentral:rRNA from 1 species